rnacentral:rRNA from 1 species
GACGAUUUCCGAAUGGGGAAACCCAACUGCAUAAGCAGUUACUGUUAACUGAAUACAUAGGUUAACAGAGCAAACCGGGGGAACUGAAACAUCUAAGUACCCCGAGGAGAAGAAAUCAACCGAGAUUCCGGUAGUAGCGGCGAGCGAACCUGGAUUAGCCCUUAAGCACUCGGUGAAGUAGGUGAACAAGCUGGAAAGCUUGGCGAUACAGGGUGAUAGCCCCGUAACCGACGCUUCAUCGAGCGUGAAAUCGAGUAGGGCGGGACACGUGAUAUCCUGUCUGAAUAUGGGGGGACCAUCCUCCAAGGCUAAAUACUCCUGACUGACCGAUAGUGAACCAGUACCGUGAGGGAAAGGCGAAAAGAACCCCUGUGAGGGGAGUGAAAUAGAACCUGAAACCGUGUACGUACAAGCAGUAGGAGCACCUUCGUGGUGUGACUGCGUACCUUUUGUAUAAUGGGUCAGCGACUUAUAUUCAGUGGCAAGGUUAACCGUAUAGGGGAGCCGUAGCGAAAGCGAGUCUUAACUGGGCGCUCAGUCUCUGGAUAUAGACCCGAAACCGGGUGAUCUAGCCAUGGGCAGGUUGAAGGUUGAGUAACAUCAACUGGAGGACCGAACCGACUAAUGUUGAAAAAUUAGCGGAUGACUUGUGGCUAGGGGUGAAAGGCCAAUCAAACUCGGAGAUAGCUGGUUCUCCCCGAAAGCUAUUUAGGUAGCGCCUCGGACGAAUACUACUGGGGGUAGAGCACUGUUAAGGCUAGGGGGUCAUCCCGACUUACCAACCCUUUGCAAACUCCGAAUACCAGUAAGUACUAUCCGGGAGACACACGGCGGGUGCUAACGUCCGUCGUGGAGAGGGAAACAACCCAGACCGCCAGCUAAGGUCCCAAAGUAUUGCUAAGUGGGAAACGAUGUGGGAAGGCUCAGACAGCUAGGAUGUUGGCUUAGAAGCAGCCAUCAUUUAAAGAAAGCGUAAUAGCUCACUAGUCGAGUCGGCCUGCGCGGAAGAUGUAACGGGGCUAAGCAAUACACCGAAGCUGCGGCAAUAUCUUUUAGAUAUUGGGUAGGGGAGCGUUCUGUAAGCCGUUGAAGGUGAAUCGUAAGGUUUGCUGGAGGUAUCAGAAGUGCGAAUGCUGACAUGAGUAACGACAAAGGGGGUGAAAAACCUCCUCGCCGGAAGACCAAGGGUUCCUGUCCAACGUUAAUCGGGGCAGGGUGAGUCGACCCCUAAGGUGAGGCCGAAAGGCGUAAUCGAUGGGAAACGGGUUAAUAUUCCCGUACUUCUGACUAUUGCGAUGGGGGGACGGAGAAGGCUAGGUGGGCCAGGCGACGGUUGUCCUGGUUCAAGUGCGUAGGCUUGAGAGUUAGGUAAAUCCGGCUCUCUCUAAGGCUGAGACACGACGUCGAGCUGCUACGGCAGUGAAGUCAUUGAUGCCAUGCUUCCAGGAAAAGCCUCUAAGCUUCAGAUAGUCAGGAAUCGUACCCCAAACCGACACAGGUGGUCGGGUAGAGAAUACCAAGGCGCUUGAGAGAACUCGGGUGAAGGAACUAGGCAAAAUGGUACCGUAACUUCGGGAGAAGGUACGCUCUUGAUGGUGAAGUCCCUCGCGGAUGGAGCUGACGAGAGUCGCAGAUACCAGGUGGCUGCAACUGUUUAUUAAAAACACAGCACUGUGCAAAAUCGCAAGAUGACGUAUACGGUGUGACGCCUGCCCGGUGCCGGAAGGUUAAUUGAUGGGGUUAGCGCAAGCGAAGCUCUUGAUCGAAGCCCCGGUAAACGGCGGCCGUAACUAUAACGGUCCUAAGGUAGCGAAAUUCCUUGUCGGGUAAGUUCCGACCUGCACGAAUGGCGUAAUGAUGGCCACGCUGUCUCCACCCGAGACUCAGUGAAAUUGAAAUCGCUGUGAAGAUGCAGUGUACCCGCGGCUAGACGGAAAGACCCCGUGAACCUUUACUACAGCUUGGCACUGAACAUUGAACCUACAUGUGUAGGAUAGGUGGGAGGCUAUGAAGACGUGACGCCAGUUGCGUUGGAGCCGUCCUUGAAAUACCACCCUUGUAUGUUUGAUGUUCUAACUUAGACCCAUUAUCUGGGUUGAGGACAGUGCCUGGUGGGUAGUUUGACUGGGGCGGUCUCCUCCCAAAGAGUAACGGAGGAGCACGAAGGUGGGCUAAUCACGGUUGGACAUCGUGAGGUUAGUGCAAUGGCAUAAGCCCGCUUAACUGCGAGAAUGACGGUUCGAGCAGGUGCGAAAGCAGGUCAUAGUGAUCCGGUGGUUCUGUAUGGAAGGGCCAUCGCUCAACGGAUAAAAGGUACUCCGGGGAUAACAGGCUGAUACCGCCCAAGAGUUCAUAUCGACGGCGGUGUUUGGCACCUCGAUGUCGGCUCAUCACAUCCUGGGGCUGAAGUCGGUCCCAAGGGUAUGGCUGUUCGCCAUUUAAAGUGGUACGCGAGCUGGGUUUAGAACGUCGUGAGACAGUUCGGUCCCUAUCUGCCGUGGGCGUUGGAAGAUUGAAGGGGGCUGCUCCUAGUACGAGAGGACCGGAGUGGACGAACCUCUGGUGUUCGGGUUGUGUCGCCAGACGCAUUGCCCGGUAGCUAAGUUCGGAAUUGAUAAGCGCUGAAAGCAUCUAAGCGCGAAGCGAGCCCUGAGAUGAGUCUUCCCUGACAGUUUAACUGUUCUAAAGGGUUGUUCGAGACUAGAACGUUGAUAGGCAGGGUGUGUAAGCGUUGUGAGGCGUUGAGCUAACCUGUACUAAUUGCCCGUGAGGCUUAACCA